GAAUAUCAAAAUAUACCUAAUAAACACAUAUUUAUGAUCGGUUCUAGGGUAGGACCCAAACUCAAACAAAGACCUGCAGGUAAAAAAAAACCCAAUAGGUUAUCUUCUCUGGACCUGAACUAAACUUAUAAUUUGGGUCUGUUCUAUUUGUUUUUUGAUCCGGAUAUAAUUCUCAUGUCGAAAAGAAACUUACGUAAAAUUGUACAUAUAAAAUCUCAAAUAAACUAAUUUGUAGAUUAUAUAGCUGUUAAAAAUUAUGUUUUUCGAUAUAAUAAAAUUUUGUAUUAUAAUAUAAUCCAACAACUCCGCGCUUUCUAAGCGCGGGUCAAAAUCUAGUAAGAAAUUAAAAAUAAUGAAACAGUACAUAUUAAAGGAACCAUCGGUCCUUCAAAAGCAAAAUUUUAGGACUUGAGUUGUAUACAAUUUUUAGAGACAAGUGUCUUUUUUUUUUUUUUUUUUUGUCGACAACAUUACAGACUCAUAUUGACUCUGUAAACCAAAUUGGGAGAUGUUGAUCCAUGUGAACGACGAAAGACGGCUGAAUCCUGGCACUGCGUGCUAGACUAUCCGCCUUUGUAUUUUGCGUUCUUGGUACAUGAAUGAUCUCUGAUCGUAUAAAACUCUCCUUCAGGUUCUGAAUAUCUUCCAAAUAACUUGCAAAAGCUGGCCAUUCUUCUGGUUUCGAAACCAUCUUCACCAAUUGAGAACAAUCCGUUGCAAAUGUAACCUGAAAUUGUCUUAAAUUUCGCAUACAUUCCAUGGCCCAUAAUAGCACCUCCAUCUCUGCAUGCAAGGGGGUUAAAG
rnacentral:lncRNA from 1 species